rnacentral:rRNA from 1 species
GACGGAGGGUGCUAGCGUUGUUCGGAAUUACUGGGCGUAAAGGGCGCGUAGGCGGCCUGCUAAGUCGGUUGUGAAAGCCCGGGGCUCAACCCCGGAACGGCAGCCGAGACUGGCGGGCUCGAGACCGGGAGAGGUGGGUGGAAUACCCAGUGUAGAGGUGAAAUUCGUAGAUAUUGGGUGGAACACCGGUGGCGAAAGCGGCUCACUGGCCCAGUUCUGACGCUGAGGCGCGAAAGCGUGGGGAGCAAACAGG